rnacentral:rRNA from 1 species
GGAAUAUUGCACAAUGGGGGAAACCCUGAUGCAGCAACGCCGCGUGGAGGAUGAAGGCUCUUGGGUUGUAAACUCCUUUUCUGCGGGAAGAGCAAGGACGGUACCGCAGGAAUAAGUCACGGCUAACUACGUGCCAGCAGCCGCGGUAAUACGUAGGUGACAAACGUUCUCCGGAAUUACGGGGCGUAAAGCGCACGCGGGCGGUCAAUCAAGUUUGGCGUGAAAGCUCCCGGCUUAACUGGGAGAAGUCGUUGAAUACUGGUUGGCUUGAGGCAGUGAGAGGGGUGCGGAAUUCCAUGUGUAGUGGUGGAAUGCGUAGAUAUCUGGAGGAACACCAGUGGCGAAAGCGGCACCCUGGCAUUGACCUGACGCUCAUGUGCGAAAGCGUGGGGAGCGAAC